UGGCCGGUUGGGCGGGUGCGGAGCCUGCUGGUUCGCACCUGCCGUGGUAGAGGCCGACCCUGGUCGGCGCCUUUGUCCCAACCAAGGUUGGCAGC
rnacentral:tRNA from 1 species